UGCGGAUUCGUCUAGUGGUAGGACGUCUGACUCUGACUCAGAAAGCCCUGGUUCGAGCCCAGGAUCCGCAU
rnacentral:tRNA from 1 species